GAGUUGCCUUCCAUCCUUCGAAAAUCGCACCUUAAUUUAAUUUAGUUUAAUUGAUCAAAUCGAUUUUACACUCCGAAGCAAGAAAAGGGUAAGUCCUAAAAUUCUCUAUUUUAAGCGAGCACUUUAUUCCUUAUAUAAUGUAGUGAGAUAAAAAUCCUUUUAACAUUCCAUUAAGGAACAGGGGAUACUUCUCUCAUAUCAAUGAGUGCAGUCCGAUUAAUGUUUUAGCUCAAAGAUAAGGGCCUGGUUAUGCUCUCGUAAAUGAAGAAUAAAUGUAUCGUAAAUGUUAAGAGGCAAUUAAAGGCCUGGUUAUGCUCUCGUAAACAUACCUUAAAUGUAGGAAAACGGGUCAACUUUUUUGUUUUGCUUUGUGAAAACACAUGCAAAUGAUUACCGAACAACCGGAAAGUAGAAUUCAGUAAAAACAAAAUUUUACGUUUCGUUUUCGUGUCAGCUAAUAAAAUUUGAAGUUUGAAGAAGUUUCAAAACCAACAAUUUAUGUUAAGAAAACUGCUAUUCCCCUUUUCUUUGAUUUCUUUGUUUAAGGAUGAAUGGGUAGCCCACCACGAAAAGGUGGACUGUCUGUGAAAAGUGAGAAAUAUGGGAUAGCAAGAAACUACAAGUUAGUACUAUGUCUUGAAACUGGGAUCUAUUCAGGGAUUCCACACACUCCGCCACGGUCUUGAAGGCCGCCAAUACUGAUUUCGACCCGGCACGGGAUGCUUAUAAGCACCACAUCUGAGCUCCAAUUUGUUUGGUGUUCACGUCAUUACGAGAAGCUCAGCUGAGAGCUAAUGGGCGCGUCCAUAGGUUGCGGAUAGUGGAAUGCUUCGUGUACGGAGUAGCUGCAAUUGCAGUCGCGGACAAUCAGCGGUAUCGAGUGGAGAGUCUCAGUGAGUGGUCGGGCGGCAACAGCUCUUGCUUAAAUACGGGGUGCCUGUGAUACUCGAUAUGACAAGGUGGUCUAUUAGCGUCUUUAAAUAACCAAUGGCCGUAGCGUUCCGGCGGCGAUCGGUCUUGUGGACCUGAGCGAGCUUGCUCAUUUUUGGAGCUUGACGAGGAUCGCUACCUCCACAAACAAAUGUGGCUACAACAACAGCAAUAACAACUGAAUUCGAAAACUUUAAAUCCCUUUCCGAAAUUUCUUUUGCGUCUAUCGUUAUGGCACAUAGCUCUGCCUGAAAUGUUAUGUGUGUAUCGUAGUAUAACCCCAAUCCCGUCCUUGUCUCCCGAAACCCUCCUCAGUCUGCCCACCACAUCCAAAGUGUCCAGAAGGGAACCUUGUCCAUAUUCUGUCUCCGAGUGCGGUUCAGGGCGGUGACUGUCGACCAAUCUCCUCGCUGUUAAAUGCCCUCUCAAUAUUCAAGAAGGCCGCCAUCGCGUACUACUUCAGUUGGAGAAACGCUUCUAAUCUUGCAUCACUGCAUGGAGGGCCAUCUUCUCCGACCUGCCUUGAGUUAUGCAUGAGGUUCUCCGACGUCAGACCCUCACUUUCAAGUCUUUUUUUAUACUUUUUUGUAAAAAGCAUAAUUGCCUUUUUACAUUUACGAUACAAUUGUUCUAUAUUUACGAGAGCAUAACCAGGCCUUAAGCUAUUACAAAACGUAGCAUUUGACAUUAAAAAAAAAAACAAUUUUAUUAACAAAAUAGACUUGAAGGUGAGUCAGGGAGAACUUCGGGCAUACCUCAAGGGCACAAAAUGCAUACCUUAAGGACAGGUCGGAGAAGACGGGCCUGCACGCAGUGAUGCGCGAAGUCGAGACGUCGCUCUAACUGAAGGUGACUGGGCCGAAAGUCGCCGCUCUGAGCCGCAUGGGGAUCCAACCAAGAUUCUCCCUGUGCUACGUGACAGAACUAUCAACGCGGACUUCGGAGAUAGUGUGGUCAAAGGUAUGCAACAUAUCAACGUCUAUUCCGAACUGUGCCGUCAAGGUUGCGCUUAGGUUGCUGGAGGAGACAGAAUACGGCCAAGGUUUCUGGACACUGUGGAGGAGUGGGGCACACUGAGGAUGGUUUCAGACUACUUGGAAUUUAAGGAUUCACCUUCCCUGGAGGGAGAAGUAGGAGCUAAUACUGGGAUUUCUAGAGAAUGGUACCAUUAUAGAUGACUCUAAGAUGGAGACAGGGACUGGAUUGGGGUUAUAUAAAGCUUUCGAAAUCAGUGUAUAUGGUGGCCCAAUGCCGUGCGUUCUAGUACAGUGAGGUCGAAUUGCGUGUUGGAGUGUAUGGAAUCCCUGUAUAGACUCCAGUUUCACGACAUACUGCUAACAUGGAUUAAAGCAUACAUAUUCUCACAUUUCAUUUCCUUUUCACCACAGGUCAGACUGGCCACUAGGUGAACUCACCUUUCCAUGGUAGUCUAACCACGGAAUGUAAAAUUUUGUUUUUACUGAAUUAUAUAUUCCGGUUACGAUCGACAAACGUUCGGUAA